CCAGAGAACUUAGCAGAGAUGCUUUGGUGCCUUCGGGAACUCUGAGACAGGUGCUGCAUGGCUGUCGUCAGCUCGUGUUGUGAAAUGUUGGGUUAAGUCCCGCAACGAGCGCAACCCUUAUCCUUUGUUGCCAGCGGCUCGGCCGGGAACUCAAAGGAGACUGCCGGUGAUAAACCGGAGGAAGGUGGGGAUGACGUCAAGUCAUCAUGGCCCUUACGGCCAGGGCUACACACGUGCUACAAUGGCGCAUACAAAGAGAAGCGACCUCGCGAGAGCAAGCGGACCUCAUAAAAGUGCGUCGUAGUCCGGAUUGGAGUCUGCAACUCGACUCCAUGAAGUCGGAAUCGCUAGUAAUCGUAGAUCAGAAUGCUACGGUGAAUACGUUCCCGGGCCUUGUACACACCGCCCGUCACACCAUGGGAGUGGGUUGCAAAAGAAGUAGGUAGCUUAACCUUCGGGAGGGCGCUUACCACUUUGUGAUUCAUGACUGGGGUGAAGUCGUAACAAGGUAAGCGUAGCGAG
rnacentral:rRNA from 1 species